GAUUGUGAGAGCAAUCUGGCUGUGACAUCUGUCACCCCAUUGAUCAUCAGGGUUGAUUCAGCUGAUCUGGCUGGCUAGGCGGGUGUCUCCUUCCUCCCUCACUGCUCCAUGUGCAUCUCUACUGAAGCAGCGCUCCAUUGAAGAGGAAGGCCUUCCUUGAAUAGAGGCAGACUUGUCUUCUCUUGAGGGUAUACAGGUAUGUGCACUCUCCUGCUAGAACUUUUAAACAAGAAAAAAAAAAAAACUUAAGAUCGUCAUCUGUCAGUUAUUUCAGAAACAGGAAUGAUAUUCAGAACGUAAAAUAUCUUUCUAU
rnacentral:snRNA from 1 species